GGUUGACCUCGGAUCAGGUAGGGCUACCCGCUGAACUUAAGCAUAUCAAUAAGCGGAGGAAAAGAAACCAACAGGG
rnacentral:rRNA from 1 species